AACAGGAUUAGAUACCCUGGUAGUCCACGCCCUAAACGAUGUCUACUAGUUGUUGGUGGAGUAAAAUCCAUGAGUAACGCAGCUAACGCGUGAAGUAGACCGCCUGGGGAGUACGGUCGCAAGAUUAAAACUCAAAUGAAUUGACGGGGGCCCGCACAAGCGGUGGAUUAUGUGGAUUAAUUCGAUGCAACGCGAAAAACCUUACCUGGCCUUGACAUGUAACGAACUUUCCAGAGAUGGAUUGGUGCUCGAAAGAGAACGUUAACACAGGUGCUGCAUGGCUGUCGUCAGCUCGUGUCGUGAGAUGUUGGGUUAAGUCCCGCAACGAGCGCAACCCUUGCCAAUAAUUGCCAUCAUUUAGUUGGGCACUUUAUUGGGACUGCCGAUGACAAAUCGGAGGAAGGUGGGGAUGACGUCAAGUCCUCAUGGCCCUUAUGGCCAGGGCUCCACACGUAAUACAAUGGUCGGUACAGAGGGUUGCCAAGCCGCAAGGUGGAGCCAAUCCCAGAAAGCCGAUCGUAGUCCGGAUUGAGGUCUGCAACUCGACCUCAUGAAGUCGGAAUCGCUAGUAAUCGCGGAUCAGCAUGUCGCGGUGAAUACGUUCCCGGGCCUUGUACACACCGCCCGUCACACCAUGGGAGUGGGUAUUACCAGAAGUAGGUAGUCUAACCGCAAGGAGGACGCUUACCACGGUAGUAUUCAUGACUGGGGUGAAGUCGUAACAAGGUAACC
rnacentral:rRNA from 1 species